rfam:Aedes aegypti strain Liverpool supercont1.93 genomic scaffold, whole genome shotgun sequence.
UGCCCAGCAACUCCUAUCCCUACCUCCUCGCGGUACUGGCUGGGGUACGAGUAACCUUAGGGAAGAUCGGGUAACCAACCCCCGGUGGGAACUUUGGUCGUAUGCUGACAGGGAAGA